rnacentral:rRNA from 1 species
UACGUAGGGGGCAAGCGUUGUCCGGAGUUACUGGGCGUAAAGCGCACGCAGGCGGUCGUUUAAGUCUGGGGUGACAGUUCCCGGCCUAACCGGGAAAGUGCUCUGGAAACUGGAUGACUUGAGGGCUUCAGAGGGAUGUGGAAUUCCAGGUGGAGUGGUGAAAUGCGUAGAGAUCUGGAAGAACACCAAAGGCGAAGGCAGCAUCCUGGGAAGUACCUGACGCUCGGGUGCGAAAGCUAGGGGAGCGAACGGG